GAUGAAGAACGCAGCGAAAUGCGAUAAGUAAUGUGAAUUGCAGAAUUCAGUGAAUCAUCGAAUCUUUGAACGCAUCUUGCGCUCCUUGGUAUUCCAUGGAGCAUGCCUGUUUGAGUGUCAUUAAAUUCUCAACUACACUGACUUUGAAUUGGUGUGGCUUGGAUUUGGGGGGAAAAUUGUUGUGGGCUUUUUGUAUAGUCUGCUCCCCUGAAAUUGAUUAGCGGUACCUUUGUGGAACUGUCUACAGGUGUGAUAAUUAUCUACAUCUUAGACAUCUGCUGGAAUGCUGCUUUCUAAACCUUACUUGUAUUGACAAUCUUGACCUCAAAUCAGGUAGGACUACCCGCUGAACUUAAGCAUAUCAAUAAGCGGAGGA
rnacentral:misc_RNA from 1 species